rnacentral:rRNA from 1 species
GACGAACGCUGGCGGCGUGCCUAAUACAUGCAAGUAGAACGCACAGUUUAUACCGUAGCUUGCUACACCAUAGACUGUGAGUUGCGAACGGGUGAGUAACGCGUAGGUAACCUGCCUGGUAGCGGGGGAUAACUAUUGGAAACGAUAGCUAAUACCGCAUAAUAUUAAUUAUUGCAUGAUAAUUAAUUGAAAGGUGCAAUUGCACCACUACCAGAUGGACCUGCGUUGUAUUAGCUAGUAGGUGAGGUAACGGCUCACCUAGGCGACGAUACAUAGCCGACCUGAGAGGGUGACCGGCCACACUGGGACUGAGACACGGCCCAGACUCCUACGGGAGGCAGCAGUAGGGAAUCUUCGGCAAUGGACGAAAGUCUGACCGAGCAACGCCGCGUGAGUGAAGAAGGUUUUCGGAUCGUAAGGCUCUGUUGUAAGAGAAGAACGGGUGUGAGAGUGGAAAGUUCACACUGUGACGGUAUCUUACCAGAAAGGGACGGCUAACUACGUG